rnacentral:sRNA from 1 species
UAUUCUGCCCUACAGGGAAGGAUGAGAAGCUUCGACUAAGGUUCGACUCGAGCGAAGCGAGAGAACAUUGCCGCAGGCAAUGGCCCGAAGGCGAGGCGCUUUAGCGCCGAGAAAUCCUUCCCCCCACCA